rnacentral:tRNA from 1 species
GGACCUGUGGCCGAAUAUGGAAAGGCACUGCGGAGUAGUCUGCAAGGUUCCCGGUUCGAUUCCGGGCAGGUAAA